CCUACGGGUGGCAGCAGUGAGGAAUAUUGGUCAAUGGACGAGAGUCUGAACCAGCCAAGUAGCGUGACGGAUGACUGCCCUAUGGGUUGUAAACUUCUUUUAUAUGGGAAUAAAAUGUUCCACGUGUGGGAUUUUGUAUGUACCAUAUGAAUAAGGAUCGGCUAACUCCGUGCCAGCAGCCGCGGUAAUACGGAGGAUCCGAGCGUUAUCCGGAUUUAUUGGGUUUAAAGGGAGCGUAGGUGGAUUGUUAAGUCAGUUGUGAAAGUUUGCGGCUCAACCGUAAAAUUGCAGUUGAAACUGGCAGUCUUGAGUACAGUAGAGGUGGGCGGAAUUCGUGGUGUAGCGGUGAAAUGCUUAGAUAUCACGAAGAACUCCGAUUGCGAAGGCAGUUCACUGGACUGCAACUGACACUGAGGCUCGAAAGUGUGGGUAUCAAACAGGAUUAGAUACCCGUGUAGUC
rnacentral:rRNA from 1 species